GAGGAGAGAGAAAGGGGGUCAGACAGAGAGAGCAGUAGUGACUCAUUAAUUCCCGAGAGGAAAGAAGAGACGACAGAAAUGAGGAUCUCCCACUGAAAUCUGCCCCUCUGCAGCCCUGAGCUUCCUGCACAUCCAGCACUUCCUCAGUCUGCUCUCCACAACUGAAGACUCCACAAUUCUGCAUCCACCGCUUCAGUACCAACAGGUGCUUUAGUACCUGCAAGUGUUCCUGACACAUCGGGACAUCAGGGGGGAUGGAGGAUAGCAGUAAGCCAGAGACGGUGCCUCCUGGCUUUGGUGGGAUGUCGGCCAUGUCUGGGCCUCUGCUCCCAGCCUCCCUGGAGAAGCUGCACAGCCAGACGGACUCCCUCCUCACUGCAGCCCGGCUUGUCCGCAGAGGUUGGACGGAGGAGGGGAAGAAGACAGGGUGGCAAGUUUCCUGUUUUGACUCCUCACGUCGACCAUCUGUCUCCGGGUCAGAUGGAAAUCAGGGUCCAAAAGGUGGUGCGGAGAGAGGAACGGGCUCUGAAAAACAGGAAGAUGAAGCAAAACGGACUGAAAGUGCAUUCUCAGCUAACAGACAAGCAGAAAGACAGACAGGCAUUCGUAUCUUGGUGUCCGGCUGUCGCACCACAUUCAGACAAUCCAGGAGGUUCAAGGCCCCGAUACUACCGGUCAUCGCCGAGAUCUAGACUAUAGCUGACCUUUGUUACAGAAGGGACAAUGAAUUAAAGGCAAAGGUGCAUAAACAACAUAUUUGGUUAUGAUAAGAGCUCUACAAUAUGCAGACUUUAUUUAAACCUUGAGGAAUUUGCUGGUGUUAAUACUGUUGAUGUAAACAUGAGAUUAAAUUGACUUUUUUCAUAAAUGUGCAAAUAUGUACUAAUGUAUAACUGUGUGUUGGUGUUGUGUUCUUGUAAAAAAAAAACAUUAAAGGUGCAGUCGAAUCAA